rnacentral:rRNA from 1 species
AACGAACGCUGGCGGCAGGCCUAACACAUGCAAGUCGAGCGAGCAUUUCGGUGCUAGCGGCGGACGGGUGCGUAACGCGUGGGAACGUGCCCUUUUCUGCGGAAUAGUCCUGGGAAACUGGGGGUAAUACCGCAUACGCCCUUUUGGGGAAAGAUUUAUCGGAGAAGGAUCGGCCCGCGUUGGAUUAGGUAGUUGGUAGGGUAAUGGCCCACCAAGCCGACGAUCCAUAGCUGGUUUGAGAGGAUGAUCAGCCACACUGGGACUGAGACACGGCCCAGACUCCUACGGGAGGCAGCAGUGGGGAAUCUUAGACAAUGGGGGCAACCCUGAUCCAGCCAUGCCGCGUGAGUGAUGAAGGCCUUAGGGUUGUAAAGCUCUUUCAGCUGGGAAGAUAAUGACGGUACCGGCAGAAGAAGCCCCGGCUAACUCCGUG